rnacentral:rRNA from 1 species
AACGGUCCAGACUCCUACGGGAGGCAGCAGUGGGGAAUUUUGGACAAUGGGCGCAAGCCUGAUCCAGCAAUGCCGCGUGAGUGAAGAAGGCCUUCGGGUUGUAAAGCUCUUUUGUCAGGGAAGAAACGGUGAGGGCUAAUAUCCCUUGCUAAUGACGGUACCUGAAGAAUAAGCACCGGCUAACUACGUGCCAGCAGCCGCGGUAAUACGUAGGGUGCAAGCGUUAAUCGGAAUUACUGGGCGUAAAGCGUGCGCAGGCGGUUUUGUAAGUCUGUCGUGAAAUCCCCGGGCUCAACCUGGGAAUUGCGAUGGAGACUGCAAGGCUAGAAUCUGGCAGAGGGGGGUAGAAUUCCACGUGUAGCAGUGAAAUGCGUAGAGAUGUGGAGGAACACCGAUGGCGAAGGCAGCCCCCUGGGUCAAGAUUGACGCUCAUGCACGAAAGCGUGGGGAGCAAACAGGAUUAGAUACCCUGGUAGUCCACGCCCUAAACGAUGUCUACUAGUUGUCGGGUUUUAAUUAACUUGGUAACGCAGCUAACGCGUGAAGUAGACCGCCUGGGGAGUACGGUCGCAAGAUUAAAACUCAAAGGAAUUGACGGAA